rnacentral:rRNA from 1 species
AGAGUUUGAUCCUGGCUCAGGAUGAACGCUGGCGGCGUGCUUAACACAUGCAAGUCGAACGAAGCACUUUAUUUGAUUUCCUUCGGGAUUGAUUAUUUGGUGACUGAGUGGCGGACGGGUGAGUAACGCGUGGGUAACCUGCCUUGUACAGGGGGAUAACAGUUGGAAACGGCUGCUAAUACCGCAUAAGCGCACAGCAUCGCAUGAUGCAGUGUGAAAAACUCCGGUGGUAUAAGAUGGACCCGCGUUGGAUUAGCUAGUUGGUGAGGUAACGGCCCACCAAGGCGACGAUCCAUAGCCGACCUGAGAGGGUGACCGGCCACAUUGGGACUGAGACACGGCCCAAACUCCUACGGGAGGCAGCAGUGGGGAAUAUUGCACAAUGGGCGAAAGCCUGAUGCAGCGACGCCGCGUGAGCGAAGAAGUAUUUCGGUAUGUAAAGCUCUAUCAGCAGGGAAGAUAAUGACGGUACCUGACUAAGAAGCACCGGCUAAAUACGUGCCAGCAGCCGCGGUAAUACGUAUGGUGCAAGCGUUAUCCGGAUUUACUGGGUGUAAAGGGAGCGUAGACGGAGUGGCAAGUCUGAUGUGAAAACCCGGGGCUCAACCCCGGGACUGCAUUGGAAACUGUUAAUCUGGAGUACCGGAGAGGUAAGCGGAAUUCCUAGUGUAGCGGUGAAAUGCGUAGAUAUUAGGUGGAACACCAGUGGCGAAGGCGGCUUACUGGACGGUAACUGACGUUGAGGCUCGAAAGCGUGGGGAGCAAAGCAGGAUUAGAUACCCUGGUAGUCCACGCCGUAAACGAUGACUACUGGGGUUCGGGCAGCCAAAGCUGUUUGGUGCCGCAGCAAACGCAAUAAGUAGUCCACCUGGGGAGUACGUUCGCAAGAAUGAAACUCAAAGGAAUUGACGGGGACCCGCACAAGCGGUGGAGCAUGUGGUUUAAUUUGAAGCAACGCGAAGAACCUUACCUGCUCUUGACAUCUCCCUGACCGGCAAGUAAUGUUGCCUUUCCUUCGGGACAGGGAUGACAGGUGGUGCAUGGUUGUCGUCAGCUCGUGUCGUGAGAUGUUGGGUUAAGUCCCGCAACGAGCGCAACCCCUAUCUUUAGUAGCCAGCGGUUCGGCCGGGCACUCUAGAGAGACUGCCAGGGAUAACCUGGAGGAAGGUGGGGAUGACGUCAAAUCAUCAUGCCCCUUAUGAGCAGGGCUACACACGUGCUACAAUGGCGUAAACAAAGGGAGGCAGAACCGCGAGGUCGAGCAAAUCCCAAAAAUAACGUCUCAGUUCGGAUUGUAGUCUGCAACUCGACUACAUGAAGCUGGAAUCGCUAGUAAUCGCGAAUCAGAAUGUCGCGGUGAAUACAAAGCCGGGUCUUGCACACACCGCCCGUCA